GAAAAGGCAAACCUUGAAUUUCCGAAUACAACGUUUGACUGUCCGUCUUGUAUGAAUUUUUUUAUAAUUAGUAUUUUCAUUAUUGUUAGAUGAUAAAACAUGAUUAAUACUUUAUGCGUGAUUUGUCUUUUUAUUUUUUUCAUAUUUUUUUAAAUAAAACGAACGGUCAAACGUUAGACAAGAAAACCCAGGGUUUGCCUUUUU
rfam:Oryza meridionalis cultivar OR44 (W2112) chromosome 11, whole genome shotgun sequence.